GAGAGGGAAGAACGGUAGGCCGGCAGGCGGGAGGACGUUCGAACGUUUCAGAAACGAUGAGCUCCUCCGACUGGACGGACCUUGAACGUGAACUCCUACGGAGAAGCGAAGCGCUAAGCGUCGUUCCGUAUGACGACACGCCGCUGGAAAUUUCAGCACCGUCACCGAGAGCGACGCUACAAGAGCACGACAGUGACGAGGGCCAUGGAGAAGCACCGCGUCCCGAGGAUCCCGACGACCACGUGGAUCGCGCCAACAUAAAUUGGUGUCGAUGUGACCGGUGUGAUCACACGCCUACGGCGUCAGAGCGGCUGUUCUGCCGUGAUAUGCCACAAUGCGUAAUGCGCAAUGAACCAUGCAUUUGUGAAGAUGAUUAUUUUUUUUACGCUGUGUCUUGACACAGAAGUGCUACAUGUGGCGUACUGCGAGCUGCGAGAAAGGGGCGAGCAGCCGUUGAUGGACAUCCACAAGAGGUAUCGAUACAUUGCCUGUCGGCAGUUUACUCGUUGGAUCUGGGGCCGGCUCGGGCCAAGAAACCGGAAAGUGGUUCCUGCUUGUGCUAUUAGGCUCAUCAGAAAAAUGUUC